AUUGAACGCUGGCGGCAGGCCUAACACAUGCAAGUCGAGCGGAUGAAGGGAGCUUGCUCCUGGAUUCAGCGGCGGACGGGUGAGUAAUGCCUAGGAAUCUGCCUGGUAGUGGGGGAUAACGUCCGGAAACGGGCGCUAAUACCGCAUACGUCCUGAGGGAGAAAGUGGGGGAUCUUCGGACCUCACGCUAUCAGAUGAGCCUAGGUCGGAUUAGCUAGUUGGUGGGGUAAAGGCCUACCAAGGCGACGAUCCGUAACUGGUCUGAGAGGAUGAUCAGUCACACUGGAACUGAGACACGGUCCAGACUCCUACGGGAGGCAGCAGUGGGGAAUAUUGGACAAUGGGCAAAAGCCUGAUCCAGCCAUGCCGCGUGUGUGAAGAAGGUCUUCGGAUUGUAAAGCACUUUAAGUUGGGAGGAAGGGCAGUAAGUUAAUACCUUGCUGUUUUGACGUUACCAACAGGAUAAGCACCGGCUAACUUCGUG
rnacentral:rRNA from 1 species